CCUACGGGAGGCAGCAGUGAGGAAUAUUGGUCAAUGGACGCAAGGCUGAACCAGCCAAGCCGCGUGCAGGAAGACGGCUCUAUGAGUUGUAAACUGCUUUUGUAAGAGGGUAAACGCAGAUACGUGUAUCUGUCUGAAAGUACCGUACGAAUAAGGAUCGGCUAACUCCGUGCCAGCAGCUGCGGUAAUACGGAGGAUUCAAGCGUUAUCCGGAUUUAUUGGGUUUAAAGGGUGCGUAGGCGGUCGGAUAAGUUAGAGGUGAAAUCCCGAGGCUCAACUUCGGAAUUGCCUCUGAUACUGUUCGUCGAGAGAGUAGUUGCGGUAGGCGGAAUGUAUGGUGUAGCGGUGAAAUGCUUAGAUAUCAUACAGAACACCGAUUGCGAAGGCAGCUUACCAAGCUACUUCUGACGUUGAGGCACGAAAGCGUGGGGAGCAAACAGGAUUAGAUACCCUGGUAGUC
rnacentral:rRNA from 1 species